rnacentral:rRNA from 1 species
UACGGGGGGAGCAAACGUUGUUCGGAAUCACUGGGUUUAAAGGGUGCGUAGGUGGAUUUAUAAGUCAGUGGUGAAAGCCCCGAGCUCAACUUGGGAAUUGCCAUUGAUACUGUAGAUCUUGAGUGCGGUUGAGGUAGGCGGAAUGUUACAUGUAGCGGUGAAAUGCUUAGAUAUGUAACAGAACACCAAUUGCGAAGGCAGCUUACCAAGCCGAUACUGACACUGAUGCACGAAAGCGUGGGGAUCAAACAGG